rnacentral:lncRNA from 1 species
UAUAUAUAGUACGUCUCCCGUGCUUUCGAAAGUACGGAGGCCUUUGUACUUGUAAGUUGUUUUCGAUGAUAGGACAUCCGAUUCGACGAUCGGCUCCGUUAGGCAUAAUCUAUGCUAUUGAAACUAUUUAGAAACCAAAUUUUAUAAUUUUUUGACAUCAUUUGCCAAGCGAUCACAGGGUUUCAAAAAUGACUAUUUUAACGGUCGAUGUGGCACGUUUUUAAGUUCAACGGUGUAGAAGUAUUUAAAUUAUAUGAAACUUUAAUAGAAAAUUUUACUUAACAUCAAGAGUAAGAAUAAUUUUCGAUUUGAAAUUUGAGUCAUUUAUCACUAUUUUUUAUAAGAUUUUUUUUUCAGCCGUUCAUUUUGAGACUACUCGUUCACUAAGCAAACGAAGUUAAAAAACUAUGAAAUUUGGUUUCUAGAUAGUUCCAAUAGCGUAGAUCAUGUUUAGUGGAACUGAUCGCCGAAUCGAACGUCCCAUCAUUGAAAAUAACUUACAAAUACGGAGGCCUCCGUACUUUCAAAAGCAUAGGAGCCUAGCGCUCUCUCUCUCUCCUCUCUCUCUCUCUCUCUCUCUCUCUCUCUCUAUAUAUAUAUAUAUAUAUAAAAUAUUUUGAUUAAAAAUUUAAAAUUUAUAAAAAUAACUAUAAAAUAACAAAUAUUUUAAAAAAAUUUUAAAAAUAAAUUUGUAUUAUUUUUUGAAAAAAAAAAUU